AACGGGGGGGACAGGUGUUACUCAACAUGACUGGGCGUAAAGGGCAAGUAGGCGGUUGUUGAAGUGGCGGAUUAAAUACCGAAGCUCAACUUCGGUUCGUCUGCUAUACUCAAUGGCUUGAGUUUAAUAGAGGCUAGCGGUACUUUUGGUGUAGAGGUAAAAUUCGGUGAUAUCAAGGGGACCAACAACAAGCGAAGGCGGUUAGCUGGUUUAAAACUGACGCUGAGAGGCAAAAGCGUGGGGAGCAAACAGG
rnacentral:rRNA from 1 species